UCUUACAUUUAAUUGCUCUUGAACUAAAACCGCGUCACAAAAGGGGGCUUAAAGCAAAGCAAAAGCUGGCUGCAACGCUGAAAUUUUUAGCUCAAGGGUCAUACCAGCUAGUUGUUGGUAACGAUUUUACCAUACCUAUGGCGCAAUCAACCUUUUCAGAAGUCUUACAUGAGACUUUGAGAAUAAUGCAAACACAAUUGCUCAAGUAUAUAACGUUGCAAAUGUCUGAAGUGGAAAAAACAGAAGCCAGAAAUUACUUCUACCAAAAAUCUGGAAUCCCUGGUGUUGUAAUGUGCAUCGAUGGAUCUCAUAUUAGAAUUCUGGCCCCUAACGGAGAUCGUGUGCCUUACUAUAAUAGAAAAGGGUGCUAAAGUUUAAACGCGUUGAUGAUAUGCGACAACCGUAAACUUAUCCGAUUCGUCGAUGCAAGGUUCAGUGGCUCCAAUCACGAUUCAUGCAUUUUUAGUAUGAGCCCAGCUUUUAAGUUUUCCGAAAGGAAAUGAAGCGAUGGAGACCUUGCUGAAGAGAUGGAAAUGUUCAAAUUGUUGGGUGACUCUGCUUAUCCUGCGAAGCCAUGGUUGAUAAAGCCCAACAGAAAUGCUGCACCUAAUCCACCUGAGGCAAAAUUCAAUCAGAGACAUGCACAAGCUCGUGCCGUGAUUGAAAACGCAUUUGGUGUUCUGAAAGGAAAGUUCAGAUGCCUCCUUGGAGACAGACUGCUACGAUAUUCUCCAUCCAAAUGCGUGCGGAUCAUUAACGUCUGCUGUGCCCUGCACAAUCUUUGCAUAAUGAAUAACAUGCCAGAAAAUGAUUGUUAGAUAAUCACCACUAUUGGGCUUAGCUAUCACUGAAUUGUUCAUUACCACUAGCAGGAUAGUCAGUCGGGCACGGUUCAUACCAGGCUUGACCCAUGACGGACAUAAAGUUAAAGUUAUGUUUGUGUCUAAUGUUUAUGGGAAAUAAUUUUUUUUUAUCAAGAAUACCUGCAUAGUAUGAAUAUAAAUGAAAAAAAAAAUAC